rnacentral:rRNA from 1 species
UACGUAGGGGGCUAGCGUUGUCCGGAAUCAUUGGGCGUAAAGCGCGUGUAGGCGGUUCGGUAAGUCCGCUGUGAAAGUCGGGGGCUCAACCCUCGAAUGCCGGUGGAUACUGUCGGACUAGAGUGCGGAAGAGGCGAGUGGAAUUCCUGGUGUAGCGGUGAAAUGCGCAGAUAUCAGGAGGAACACCAAUUGCGAAGGCAGCUCGCUGGGACGUAACUGACGCUGAGACGCGAAAGCGUGGGGAGCAAACAGG